GUAAAACCAUGUCUAUAACUUCCUUGAUACUAUAGCUACCCUUUGGCUAAUAACAGCACCAGGAGGCUUCAACUAAGCAAAACAUGUAUUCUGGCCAAGUAUCAUCCCAAAAAAAUGUGUUGCUUAUAGCUAUGGUAGGACAUGACUAUUGCUAUCCUAUCCAUUAAUGAGGACAUAAUACACAUUAAAAGACGUCGGGAUGGAAACGCCCGGGGAUAGAGUUGCCUUGUUGUGCCUGCUUGAGAUGCAUCGUCAGCGCAUAGUUAUUGACCUCAAGCGUUCUCAGCUGCUCCUGAUACUGAGCCACCAUCUGCUUCAGCUGAUUCACCUCAUUCCCUCUAUCUUCAAACUCCUUCUGACGCUCGUGUUGAACAGCAAAUGCUCGCUUCAAAAUAUUGUUCUCCUGAAGAAGAUCUUCUACCUGCUGCUUGAGCAUUACGUGUUCCUGCUGGAAAUUUCGAGUUGCUGCCUCUGUCGCACGGGCACAAAUGGAUUUCUCAAAGGCCUCAAGAGCUAGUGAAGCACGGGCUUUAGCAUCAUCUAUAUUUGAGGCACUCGUCAUCUCUCUAACAAACAGCUCCACCCAUUCAGUACGCUCCAUCAUGUGCAGUUCUUUUGCUGCAGAUGAGCAUGGCGUGGGCCCACCAUUACCUUGAGUUGAGAUCGGAAUGCCAAUGUCCUGGGUAGCAUCAGAUCUUCCUGGGAGGGGCCCCAAAUUCUCAGCAGACCCCAAGCAAAGCUCAUUUAAUCUUUUGAUGGCAGAAUCCAAAUCACCGCAUUCAUCCAGAGCUCUCUCCAGCAACUGUUUGUCCAUAUCAGGAAACACCGAUAUGAGAUGAUCGAUCGCCGACGGAGUCGUAAAGGAUCGCGACGGAGAAAACGAAGACGGAGAACAACGGAUCCUCUUCGAAACCGGCGGAGACGGCGAUGACUGCAAAUCUUCAAAAAAAUUGGAUCUCUUACCGCACACCACAGCAGACAUGUUGCGCCAAAAAAAAAAAUCAAAUUCCUCUCAACAGCAGCAACAACAACAACAAUUCUUCUCCCACCGCCUCGCUCAUACAGAUUCCAAAAACAACA
rnacentral:misc_RNA from 1 species